rnacentral:rRNA from 1 species
CCUACGGGGUGCAGCAGUGGGGAAUAUUGGGCAAUGGAGGCAACUCUGACCCAGCAACGCCGCGUGAAGGAAGAAGGCCUUAGGGUUGUAAACUUAUGUUGUAAAGGAAGAAAAGAAUGACGGUACUUUACAAGAAAGCCUCGGCUAACUAUGUGCCAGCAGCCGCGGUAAGACAUAGGGGGCAAGCGUUGUUAGGAAUUACUGGGCGUAAAGGGAGCGUAGGCGGGAGAAUAAGGUAAGAGUGAAAGACUUGGGCUCAACCCAAGAAAUGCUCUUAAUACUGGUUGUCUAGAGUGUGGGAGAGGUACGUGGAAUUCGUGGGGUAGCGGUAGAAUGCGUAGAGAUUAGGAGGAACAUCGGAGGCGAAGGCGGCUUACUGGACCAUAACUGACGCUGAGGCUCGAAAGCGUGGGGAGCAAACAGGAUUAGAUACCCCUGUAGUC